CCAGAGCUAAGCUCAGCAUGAUCAACACCAUGUCAAAAAUCCGUGGCCAGGAGAAGGGGCCAGGCUAUCCCCAGGCGGAGGCGCUGCUGGCAGAGGCCAUGCUCAAAUUUGGAAGAGAGCUUGGAGAUGAUUGCAACUUCGGCCCAGCGCUUGGUGAGGUGGGGGAGGCCAUGCGGGAGCUGUCAGAGGUAAAAGACUCUUUGGACAUGGAAGUGAAGCAGAACUUCAUUGACCCCCUUCAAAAUCUUCAUGACAAAGAUCUGAGGGAGAUUCAACAUCAUCUAAAGAAGUUGGAGGGUCGACGCCUGGACUUCGAUUAUAAGAAGAAACGGCAAGGCAAGAUUCCAGAUGAGGAACUGCGUCAAGCUCUGGAGAAGUUUGAUGAGUCUAAAGAAAUUGCAGAGUCAAGUAUGUUCAAUCUCUUGGAGAUGGAUAUUGAACAGGUGAGCCAGCUCUCUGCGCUCGUGCAAGCCCAGCUGGAGUACCACAAACAGGCAGUCCAGAUCCUGCAACAAGUCACCGUCAGACUGGAGGAAAGAAUUAGACAAGCUUCAUCUCAGCCUAAAAGGGAAUAUCAGCCUAAACCACGAAUGAGCCUGGAAUUUCCAGCUGGAGACAGUACUCAGCCCAACGGGGGUCUCUCCCACAUGGGCACUCCCAAACCUGCAGGUGUCGCAAUGGACCAGCCCUGCUGCCGAGCUCUGUAUGACUUUGAACCUGAAAAUGAAGGGGAGUUGGGUUUUAAAGAGGGCGAUAUCAUCACACUCACUAACCAAAUUGACGAGAACUGGUAUGAGGGGAUGCUUCAUGGCCAGUCAGGCUUCUUCCCCAUCAAUUAUGUGGAAAUUCUGGUUGCCCUGCCCCAUUAGGAUGUUAUUCUGGCCAGCCCCAGAUAGUUCAGUUUAACCACUGCUUUGGUAAUGCUGCUUACAACACAUCCCGAGUGCAGGCUGCAGUGGUCCAAGUCAUCAAGCCCCACCAAGUGUCUUUGGCUGACUUGUGUGCUCCUACAGAAGUCAUGGUGAUGAAUGGUAUCUUCUUAGCCUUCUGGGCAUGGCAUGUGCUUUUUAAACACCAUCUGAGAUCAGCCAGUAGUCACAGAACUGCUGUUUACACAGUUCGCCGGAGGCUCUUGUUUCUUAGGCUAUGACCACGAGCUACAUCACAGAAAAACAAUCCUACCGAAGAUAUCGUCUAUCACCCAAGGGCCAUCUCAAGGUCUCGGGUUCUUCAUUUAAAGAGGAGAAAGUCUUUGCUUUCCCAUUGUCCCUUCCCAAAUAUGUGAGUCACAGAACUGUGAAAGCCCCCCUCACCAGCAAAUUGUCUUCUGGUCUGAAUGAUUUAGUCUCUUGAUGCUACCAGUAGAAAAGUGUUAAUUGUGGGCUCAAAGCAUUCUCUGAAACAGUCACCUUUGUUCCCCCUACAUAUGCCUAUUUCUUUUCUUUUUUUUUUUUUUUUUU